rnacentral:lncRNA from 1 species
AGGACAAGAAUGAGGAAGAGAUUUGACCCAGAAUAAAGAAGCAGAAGGUGCAGCUUCACACCAUGCGACGCAGGCCCCACAGCCACGUUCCUCUCAAGGCUCAAAAUCAGGGACUUUAUACCAAGGUUCUCCACGUUGCACAAAGAUCACUACACCUUCCAAAACCCUGCUCAGGACGUCUUAGUCAUGCAUUCACAAUGGGAACUGGAAGUAAAAAGCAUUGAGACUGUUCCACUGACAAUUGUUUUACUUCUUUUUUAUCUUCAUUAGCAGGCAUCAGGCAACUUUAACCAACCUUCUAGGCAGUUGUCAGUGAUCAUUGUCAUAUUAAAGUGCAUGUUAUAGAUUAUAAAUUACUUUCAUGUUAUUUUUCCUUUAUCUUACACUUACUUACAGCAUUAUGUUGAUUUUUAAACUAUAUGGAAAGGGAAGUUACAUGAGCUAUAAAUUCCCCAUUACAUGGUCAAGCCGCAUUACAAAAGACUUGCUAUAUUA